GACGUAGGGCGCGAGCGUUGUCCGGAUUUAUUGGGCGUAAAGAGCUCGUAGGCGGCUUGUCGCGUCGUCCGUGAAAACUUGGGGCUCAACCCCAAGCUUGCGGUCGAUACGGGCAGGCUAGAGUUCGGUAGGGGAGACUGGAAUUCCUGGUGUAGCGGUGGAAUGCGCAGAUAUCAGGAGGAACACCGGUGGCGAAGGCGGGAUCCUGGGCCAGUACUGACGCUGAGGAGCGAAAGCGUGGGGAGCAAACAGG
rnacentral:rRNA from 1 species